AGUUUCCACUUAGAAUGUGCAAGUCAACCAGCUCAGUCUGUAGCUGUGCACCAAAAUCUCUCCGAACUUGUUGGCAAGCCACCGCCAAGAUUUUUCAAACAAAUCUGCCCCUGCCUUUCGGGGUUUCUGUCCAUAUCUGGGCUCUCCAAGAACGUGGGGACAGGGGCCUCGCCUUGGGAAACCGGAGCUUCGAGCGGCGAGCUCUCGAGGGUGGGGCCCUGCUUCACAGCGCGGGAGCACAGCGAGGGCCGGGCUCAAGGAGCCCCCGGGGCACAGGGCUCGCAGGGUAAGGUCAGCACCUGCCGGGCUGCCGGCCGCCCAGCCCCGGACAGCUCCGCGGGCGGCCGCGCGACUUGGGCCGCCCCGCCCCGCCCGCCCAGUCUCCCCAGGUGGGGGCGGCGUGCGCGCCAGGCAGUGCGGGCGCCCCCUCCGCGCGUUUCCGGUCCCCGCCGCCCUGAGAAGUCCUCCCCGGCGGCCGGGGGCGGCGGGAGACCGGGAGGCGGACGUGCACGCGGGGGGGCGGGGGGAGGGCGGCCGUCGCGCGUCUCCUUCCCGCCUUCACGGCGAGGCGGCGGGCGCGGUCCUGCCAAGGAGGCCCGCGCGGCCCGCGGGGGGCUCUCGACGGCAGCCGCGAGUUGGAGGUCCUCUGGGGCUGCCCCCCACUCCUCUCACUCGGGAGUGACUGAAGCGAGGCCUGGCGCCGCUCCAGAAGCCGCUCCGGGAAAGCCGCCGGCUUCUCUUCAGACCGCGACGCUCGCGUCCUCGGGCGGGUCCGAGGGACACCUGGACUCGCCGGCCGGGGCUCGAGAAGGCACCUGGGGCGGCUUUGCUGGCAUUAUUUUUUUUUUUUCUCGUUUUACCUCCGUGCUCUCUUCCUGGGGAGCGCGGGGAGCCGGGACCCCGCGCUCGCGCCCCCGGCUCCGCCCCACACACGCGCCCGCCCGCCCGCCAGCCGAGAGAGGGCGCCCCCGCCCCGCCCCCUCGCUGACGCGCGCCCAGCCGGGCCAAUCAGAGCUCGCGGCGCUGCGCCCCACGCGCCGGCCCCCCCCACCCCCAGCUUAA
rnacentral:lncRNA from 1 species